GAGCGAACAGAUAAGGAGCUUGCUCCUUUGACGUUAGCGGCGGACGGGUGAGUAACACGUGGGUAACCUACCUAUAAGACUGGGACAACUUCGGGAAACCGGAGCUAAUACCGGAUAAUAUGUUGAACCGCAUGGUUCAAUAGUGAAAGAUGGUUUUGCUAUCACUUAUAGAUGGACCCGCGCCGUAUUAGCUAGUUGGUGAGGUAACGGCUCACCAAGGCAACGAUACGUAGCCGACCUGAGAGGGUGAUCGGCCACACUGGAACUGAGACACGGUCCAGACUCCUACGGGAGGCAGCAGUAGGGAAUCUUCCGCAAUGGGCGAAAGCCUGACGGAGCAACGCCGCGUGAGUGAUGAAGGUCUUAGGAUCGUAAAACUCUGUUAUUAGGGAAGAACAAACGUGUAAGUAACUGUGCACGUCUUGACGGUACCUAAUCAGAAAGCCACGGCUAACGUGACGUGCCAGCAGCCGCGGUAAUACGUAGGUGGCAAGCGUUAUCCGGAAUUAUUGGGCGUAAAGCGCGCGUAGGCGGUUUUUUAAGUCUGAUGUGAAAGCCCACGGCUCAACCGUGGAGGGUCAUUGGAAACUGGAAAACUUGAGUGCAGUAAGAGGCAAGUGGAAUUCCAUGUGUACGGCUGAAAUGCGCAGAGAUAUGGAGGAACACCAGUGGCCGAAGGCGACUUCCUGGUCUGCAACUGACGCUGAUGUGUCGCAAAGCGUGGGGAUCAAACAGGAUUCAGAUACCCUGGUAGUCCACGCCGUAAACGAUGAGUGCUAAGUGUUAUGGGGGUUUCCGCCCCUUAGUGCUGCUAGCUAACGCAU
rnacentral:rRNA from 1 species